rnacentral:rRNA from 1 species
AGCAGCCGCGGUAAUUCCAGCUCCAAUAGCGUAUAUUAAAGUUGUUGCAGUUAAAAAGCUCGUAGUUGAAUUUCGGGGUUAGUAGGUUGGUCAUGCCUCUGGUAUGUACUGAUCUCACUGAUUCCUCCUUCCUUAUGAACCGUAAUGCCAUUAAUUUGGUGUUGCGGGGAAUUUGGACUGUUACUUUGAAAAAAUUAGAGUGUUUAAAGCAGGCUAACGCUUGAAUACAUUAGCAUGGAAUAAUGAAAUAGGACGUUCGAUCUUAUUUUGUUGGUUUCUAGGAUUGACGUAAUGAUUAAUAGGGAUAGUUGGGGGCAUUAGUAUUCAAUUGUCAGAGGUGAAAUUCUUGGAUUUAUUGAAGACUAACUACUGCGAAAGCAUUUGCCAAGGAUGUUUUCAUUAAUCAAGAACGAAAGUUAGGGGAUCGAAGACGAUCAGAUACCGUCGUAGUCUUAACCAUAAACUAUGCCGACUAGGGAUCGGAUGAUGUUAAUUUUUUAAUGUACUCAUUCGGCGCCUU